rnacentral:rRNA from 1 species
AACGAACGCUGGCGGCGUGCCUAACACAUGCAAGUCGAACGAGAAAGGGGCUUCGGCUCCGAGUAAAGUGGCGCACGGGUGAGUAACACGUGGGUAACCUGCCUCUAAGAUUGGGAUAACUCGUCGAAAGAUGAGCUAAUACCGAAUAAGACCACAGUUCCCGCGGGAACAGGGGUCAAAGGUAGCCUCUGCUUGCAAGCUAUCACUUAGAGAUGGGCCUGCGCACCAUUAGCUAGUUGGUAGGGUAACGGCCUACCAAGGCAAAGAUGGUUAGCUGGUCUGAGAGGAUGAUCAGCCACACUGGAACUGAGACACGGUCCAGACUCCUACGGGAGGAAGCAGUGGGGAAUAUUGCGCAAUGGGCGAAAGCUUGACGCAGCAACGCCGCGUGAGUGAUGAAGGCCUUCGGGUCGUAAAGCUCUGUCGGGAGGAACGAAUGCUCCUGAGGUUAACAGCCUCGGGAGGUGACGGUACCUUCAAAGGAAGCACCGGCUAACUCUGUG